AAUGUCAUAAUCUUACAUUUGGUUUCAUACAUUCAUCUGUUGGCUUAAAUGGGCCAGUAUUCUGUCCUAUGACGGAAGGUCAUGUUGGAUCAAGUCAUGUUCAAAAUGACGUGAAGCUUGGUGGGCUGAAUCCUGCUCGAAGUGGCAUGAGGCUGAUUGGGCCGAGUCACAAUCGAGACCCGUGGACACUGUAUCUGCACGUUUUAAGUGAAUUGAUUGCGUAUUUAUAACAGCUUGAGUUUUUAGGAUUAAUGGUUAGCGCCAACGAUCCGAUAAGUGGUAUCAAAAUCAGAGGUCAUGGGGCCGAAUCACAAUUGAGACUCGUGGGCACUGUAUCUAUAUAUUUUAAGUAAAUUAAUUACGUAUUUUUAGCCGCUCGAAUUUUUAGAAUUAAUUAUUAGCGCCAAUGAUCCGACAUCAUCAAGUCAAAUUUUACCUGUCCUUUUU
rnacentral:lncRNA from 1 species